CGGUUGUUUACUGAGAGUCUCGGUAAGAAGAAUUUACUAACUCUACGCAGCCACUCGUGUAAUGUGUACUGGUUAAACUGGGAUACUGGACUGACCUGACCUGGUCUUCGAGGACCGCCUGUCUCUGUUUCUACUCCGCACUUUUGUUUUACUCUGAAUUAUACGUUAUUGUGGAGAAAAGUGUCGGCUAAAUCAGUACAUGUAAAUAUAGCUUAGAGUGUUACUGUCACACCCCUGUCUGCGGGACUCAUCGGCGAAUGGCAGCAGGGAAAUAGGAGUGGAACCAACAACCUUCAGGUUACACGUCCAAGCCUUUAACCCACUGACUGAGUAAACACUGUAAAACAGUGUGAAACAACGUGACGCGGCAGAGCAGAGGAAGUGAACGGGAGAAAGAAGGGACGCUGUUGACUUUGGACUCUGACUCCGCACUCCUCCUCAUCGUGCCUCGCUCCGCUUUACUGUUUUUUACUCUCUGUCGGAUCACGUUGAUGAGUCUGCGGUCACCAUGAUGACUCGGGUGAAUCUGAGUAACUCCAACUGGGACAUUAAUGUGUCUCUGAACGAAGAGGAGGCGGCGGCCAUGCGCCGCGUGCUGGAGCGCGACUCGCGCCUCCGACGUGCGGAGCGACAGCGGGUCCAGAAGCUCCGGGAGGUGUCCAGGGAUGAUCGGUGGCUCUGGGGGGUAUCAGGACAAUGGUUCCAGGAGAUCAAGAAGGCCAACCGCGAGUACAAUUCCAGCUCUGGCUGUUGUUCUCCUGCCUCAUUUAGCAUCAGCAAAACAAGAAGCAAAGAGCGGAGAAUCACCGCUAAAGAGAAGAAUGAAGAACACACAAAGACUAGAGGCAUUCCGCUUCGAACCCGCCUCGCUUCACUCUUCUCCUUUAGGCUUCCACAAAAAAAGAACCACAGUAAGCUCAAGUA
rnacentral:lncRNA from 1 species